AAAACAAUAUAUUCAAAAAAAAAAAGAAGCAAAAGAAACAAAAAAAAAGCAAUAUCCACAAGAGAAAAGAAAAAGAAAAAAAAAAGCAACAUCCACUCGCCAACUUCGAGUUGUUGCUCUUGAUGCACAUACAAUUGAGUGCUUGGAAAACAAUUUUUGCUGCUCGCAAGAUGAAGACACAACCGCUACUGCAUGCAAGUGAUGAUUCCUUAGGCAUGUGAAGACAAAGCCUGUACAAUGGAUUCUGUGGGUCAAAUCCUGAGUCGACAAGAGAAAGAUGGAUGCUAUACACAGCUUGUGAUACUCAACAGAGUUCCUGCACAGUCAUGCAGAGAAUUAGAAGGAAAAGGCAUGUGAAGACAAAGCGUGUACAAUGGAUUCUGUGGGUCAAAUCCUGAGUCGACAAGAUAAAGAUUGAUGCUAUACAAAAGAGAAAAACAAAGCAUAUGAAAAAAUGAAACGAAAGAGAUUAUCAGAGGAGACACUUCGUCCAAUGGAAGGAAAGAAACAACUGAAACAACAAGAGAAGCUGCUUCAAAAGCCGAAGGUGCUAAGAUGGAAAAAUAUAAGAAGGAGAUGCAGAAGUGGGACAUGGGGAAAUAUACUCUAAAAUCCAUUGUAGCUGAAAUUGACAAAAAAGUGGUUGAAUUGGGAUCAAGUGGAGCUUAGGAUAACUGGUCACAAGGUUUGCAGAAAAAGGGCCUACAUAUUGCACAACGUCAAACCCCAUGGAAAGAACUAUUGUAUGGAGUAUGGUAGUUCCUGAAGUAACUUAUGUGAUUUCUAACAUGCCUUGGAGACGAGCGCAAGAGAACUAGGAAGCAAAUGAGGAAAAGCAAUACCAACAAAAGAAGAAAAAAGAAACGAAGAAAAAAAGAAUAUCCGCGAAAAAA